rnacentral:rRNA from 1 species
UACGUAAGGGGCGAACGUUGCUCGGAAUCACUGGGCGUAAAGGGCCAGCAGGUGGCUCUGUAAGUCAGUUGUCAAAGACCCGUGCUCAACGCGGAGGAGGCGACUGAUACUGCGGAGCUCGAGUAGGGGAAGGGAUGAUGGAAUACCCGGUGUAGGGGUAAAAUCUGUAGAUAUCGGGUAGAACACCGAUGGCGAAAGCGAUCAUCUGGCCUCAUACUGACACUCAAUGGCGAAAGCCAGGGGAG